GAUGAACGCUGGCGGCGUGCCUAACACAUGCAAGUCGAGCGAACCCUUCGGGGUGAGCGGCGGACGGGUGAGUAACGCGUGGGUAACCUGCCCUAUACACACGGAUAACGUACCGAAAGGUACGCUAAUACGGGAUAAAGUUGUUGGAUGGCAUCUUCUAACAAUCAAAGCUCUGGCGGUAUAGGGUGGACCCGCGUCUGAUUAGCUAGUUGGUGAGGUAAUGGCUCACCAAGGCGACGAUGAGUAGCCGACCUGAGCGGGCGAUCGGCCACACUAGAACUGAGAAAAGGUCCAGACUCCUACGGGAGGCAGCAGUGGGGAAUAUUGCACAAUGGGCGAAAGCCUGAUGCAGCAACGCCGCGUGAGCGAUUAAGGUCUUCGGAUCGUAAAGCUCUGUCCUCAGGGAAGAUAAUGACGGUACUUGAGGAGGAAGCCCCGGCUAACUACGUGCCAGCAGCCGCAGUAA
rnacentral:rRNA from 1 species